UACAGAGGGUGCGAGCGUUGUCCGGAAUCACUGGGCGUAAAGGGCGCGUAGGCGGCCUGGUAAGUACGGGGUGAAAUCUCACGGCUCAACCGUGAGGCUGCCUCGUAGACUGCCGGGCUCGAGCAGAGCAGAGGCUAGCGGAAUUCCCGGUGUAGCGGUGGAAUGCGUAGAGAUCGGGAAGAACAUCGGUGGCGAAGGCGGCUAGCUGGGCUCUUGCUGACGCUGAGGCGCGACAGCGUGGGGAGCAAACAGG
rnacentral:rRNA from 1 species